rnacentral:miRNA from 1 species
UAGUAUCAGCAAGGUGUAAUU